GGGGACAUAGCUCAGUUGGUAGAGCGCUUGAUUUGCAUUCAAGAGGCCGAGGGUUCGAUUCCUUCUGUCUCCA
rfam:Anncaliia algerae PRA109 cont4.1229, whole genome shotgun sequence.